rnacentral:rRNA from 1 species
GACGAACGCUGGCGGCGUGCUUAACACAUGCAAGUCGAACGCUGAAGCCCUGGCUUUUGUUGGGUUGGAUGAGUGGCGCACGGGUGAGUAACACGUGAGUAACCUGCCCUCUUCUUUGGGAUAACGCCCGGAAACGGGUGCUAAUACUGGAUAUUCACUGAUCUUCGCAUGGGGGUUGGUGGAAAGGUUUGUUCUGGUGGGGGAUGGGCUCGCGGCCUAUCAGCUUGUUGGUGGGGUGAUGGCCUACCAAGGCUUUGACGGGUAGCCGGCCUGUGAGGGUGACCGGUCAGAUUGGGUGUGAGGUUCGGCCCAGGAAGCGGCGAGAGGCAGCAGUGGGGAAUAUUGGACGAUGAGCGAGAGCAGGGUGCAGGGACGUCGCGUGAGGGGUGGAGGCCUGUGGGAUGUAAACCUCUUUCGCUAAUGGUCAAGCCGCAACUGUGGGUUGUGGUGAGGGUAGUGGGUAAAGAAGCGCCGGCUAACUACGUG